rnacentral:rRNA from 1 species
AGAGUUUGAUCCUGGCUCAGGACGAACGCUGGCGGCGUGCUUAGCACAUGCAAGUCGAACGGAAAGGCCCUGCUUGCAGGGUACUCGAGUGGCGAACGGGUGAGUAACACGUGGGUGAUCUGCCCUGCACUUCGGGAUAAGCCUGGGAAACUGGGUCUAAUACCGGAUAGGAGCCAUUUUUAGUGUGAUGGUUGGAAAGUUUUUUCGGUGUAGGAUGAGCUCGCGGCCUAUCAGCUUGUUGGUGGGGUAAUGGCCUACCAAGGCGGCGACGGGUAGCCGGCCUGAGAGGGUGGACGGCCACAUUGGGACUGAGAUACGGCCCAGACUCCUACGGGAGGCAGCAGUGGGGAAUAUUGCACAAUGGGCGCAAGCCUGAUGCAGCGACGCCGCGUGGGGGAUGACGGCCUUCGGGUUGUAAACUCCUUUCGCUAGGGACGAAGCUUUUUGUGACGGUACCUAGAUAAGAAGCACCGGCUAACUACGUGCCAGCAGCCGCGGUAAUACGUAGGGUGCGAGCGUUGUCCGGAAUUACUGGGCGUAAAGGGCUCGUAGGUGGUUUGUCGCGUCGUCUGUGAAAUUCCGGGGCUUAACUCCGGGCGUGCAGGCGAUACGGGCAUAACUUGAGUACUGUAGGGGUAACUGGAAUUCCUGGUGUAGCGGUGAAAUGCGCGAUAUCAGGAGGAACACCGAUGGCGAAGGCAGGUUACUGGGCAGUUACUGACGCUGAGGAGCGAAAGCAUGGGUAGCGAACAGGAUUAGAUACCCUAGUAGUCC